AUACUUACCUGGCGAGGGUCAUUUGUGAUCAAGAAGGCUAAUGAUCCGAUCGGGAAAUUUAACAUUGCACGAAGUUAAGUAGCCUGGUCGCGAACAUUCUUAUGAAUGUCUCGGUCGCAUAAUUUUUGAUAGUGGGGUGUACAGGCGUUCGCGCCAGUAGACCCUU
rnacentral:snRNA from 1 species